AGUUGAUGGAAAGGAAAAGUCUUCAGGCUACUACCAAUCAAAACUACAGCUCAGCAAUUCCAUCAUUUUAUCCUUUCUAAUAAGAGGAAAGAAAUCAUGAUUAAAUUAAAGGUCGGCUUCAAAUCAAGAUAUUGUUUGGAGUUGCCACACACACCCCCUGCACGUAUUUAAAUUUCCUUGUUGCAUAAUGUUAGUACAAUUAAAGUCUUGUCUGGAAGCAUUCUUCUCCAUCGCUGCUAAAGGUGUUUUCCGUACAGAUUAUAUUUCAGUUUUGUUUUAAAGGGCAAGAUUUAAUUAUGGAAAGAACUUGUUUUAAUUAGGCCUGCAAAAUUUGAGAGUAGUCAAGCUAUAUGCAGCAUUCAAAGAAUACGGCAGUCUAUCUGGGACUCAUCUUCUAAUGCUGUCUGGAUUGAAGUAUCAGAUAGGAUGGCAUUGGUACUUCUGAUGAAAUGCAACCAAACUGUAUCAGAAGAUAGAUAUCAUAAGCCUUUCAUACUCAGGGAAUGGUACAUGGCAUUUUCAGAUGUCACCGAGAAGUCAUGAAUACUAAAAUGUAAUGAAACAUUAAGAAUGACAACUCUGAGUGAUAAAGAAUGAUGAGUUUCCAGUCACAGACACACCCUUGGGUUGUAACUCGGAAGAAUGCCAAUAUACCACAUAAUAAACACAUCUUGGCUACAAGUUAUUGCUGCAACAAUCUGAUGCAGAGCUCAUGUGCACUUGGCCUUCUCAAUAUCUUUUAUUCAUCCUUCUCUUCAUAAUUACUUAGUGACACUAUUCUUCAGCAGUACAAAGUAUUCCUACUCACUGUGUUUUGUUGAUUUUAUUUUACAUGCCAGCAUAUCUCACAGAGUUUUCAUCAGUUCUUCAUAGAGUCACACGAAGGGGAGAAGAAUGUAUUUUCUACUGAUAACAAUCAAACAUGCAACAGGUCCUUAUUACAUAUGCUGAUAAAAUCUUGUACAGGUAGUCAUUGACAUACAACCAUUCCUUUAGCAAAUGUUCAAAAUUUUGACGGCACUGAAAAAAGUGACUUAUGAUCAGUCCUUACGCUUAUAACCAUUGGAGUAUCUCAAUGGUAACGUGGCCAAAAUUUGGGUGCAUGGUAACUGGCAUGCAUUUAUGAUGGUUACAAUAUCUCGGGGUCACUGUGACCUUCCCAGCCAGCUUCUAAUGAGCAAACACAAUGGUGGGAAGCUGGAUUCACUUAACAACUGCUUGA